rnacentral:tRNA from 1 species
UUGCGCCGUGGAGCAGCGGCUAGCUCGCCAGGCUCAUAACCUGGAGGUCGUAGGUUCGAUUCCUACCGGCGCAAU